CUCUUCUGCGGGUACGUCAUUGCUGCGGUUAUUAACCACAACACCUUCCUCCCCGCUGAAAGUACUUUACAACCCGAAGGCCUUCUUCAUACACGCGGCAUGGCUGCAUCAGGCUUGCGCCCAUUGUGCAAUAUUCCCCACUGCUGCCUCCCGUAGGA
rnacentral:rRNA from 1 species